rnacentral:rRNA from 1 species
UACGAAGGGGGGCUAGCGUUGUUCGGAAUUACUGAGCGUAAAGCGCGCGCAGGCGGCUAUCCAAGUCAGUGGUGAAAGCCCGGAGCUCAACUCCGGAACUGCCAUUGAAACUGUUUAGCUUGAGGACGAGAGAGGUGAGUGGAAUUCCCAGUGUAGAGGUGAAAUUCGUAGAUAUUGGGGAAGAACACCGGUGGCGAAGGCGGGUCUCUGGGCAGUAACUGACGCUGAGGAGCGAAAGCGUGGGGAGCGAACAGG